UACGUAGGGCGCAAGCGUUAUCCGGAAUUAUUGGGCGUAAAGAGCUCGUAGGCGGUUUGUCGCGUCUGCCGUGAAAGUCCGGGGCUCAACUCCGGAUCUGCGGGUGGGUACGGGCAGACUAGAGUGAUGUAGGGGAGACUGGAAUUCCUGGUGUAGUCGGGUGAAAUGCGCAGAUAUCAGGAGGAACACCGAUGGCGAAGGCAGGUCUCUGGGCAUUAACUGACGCUGAGGAGCGAAAGCAUGGGGAGCGAACAGG
rnacentral:rRNA from 1 species